rnacentral:rRNA from 1 species
GUGCCAGCAGCCGCGGUAAGACAGAGGAGGCCAGCGUUGUCCGGACUGACUGGCCGUAAAGCGCGCGCAGGCGGAUGUGGGCGUCGGUGCUGAAAGGCCCCCGCUUAACGGGGGACGGCGUGCCGAUACGCCAUGUCUGGAGGGUGGGCGAGGGUGGUGGAAUUGCCGGUGUAGUGGUGAAAUGCGUAGAGAUCGGCAGGAACACCCGUGGCGCAGGCGACCACCUAGCCCACCCCUGACGCUGAGGCGCGACAGCGUGGGGAGCGAACGGGAUUAGAUACCCGCGUAGUCC